rnacentral:sRNA from 1 species
AUAUCUCUCUGUACAGGAAGGAUGAGAAGCUUCGACUAAGGUUCGAUUCGAGCGCAGCGAGAAAGCGUUGCCGCAGGCAACGACCCGAAGGGCGAAGCGCGCAGCGCUGAGUAAUCCUUCCCCCACCACCA